rnacentral:rRNA from 1 species
UACGUAGGGUGCGAGCGUUAAUCGGAAUUACUGGGCGUAAAGGGCGCGUAGGCGGCACUGUUAGUCAGGCGUGAAAUUCCUGGGCUCAACCUGGGGACUGCGCUUGAUACGGCAGAGCUUGAGGAUGGAAGAGGGUCGCGGAAUUCCCAGUGUAGAGGUGAAAUUCGUAGAUAUUGGGAAGAACACCGGUGGCGAAGGCGGCGACCUGGUCAAUUACUGACGCUGAGGCGCGACAGCGUGGGGAGCAAACAGG